UCACCGCACUAUUGGUUUGGACUUUGGAACGGGCACUCGACGGGUGGCCACGCGUCCUCAGAAUUCGCGAUUCUGUGCUGUGGGAAGUGUGCUUUAACAUCGCUGACGUCUUAUGCUAGCCACCACCGUGUGUCGUAUCUUCCUUUUGCACUUUGAAAUUCGCCGGGGUGGCCACAGUGGGGCUAUUUUCGAACCUCCUCGACACACAAGCACGACACGUUCAUUGGCAAUCGAUAGACGGUGAGAGCGAGAGCAGCCGAGGCCGGCGGGUGCGCGCAUUUGUUUACAACAAUUGCAUUCCUUCGGACAUUUCGUAUUGAUGGUAGUGUGUGUGUGUUUCUGCCAAUACAAUUGUAGCUCGUGUGUUCCAUUUUCUUCAAACCAUCUCAAGGCGCAAUCUGCUGAUAUAAACAUUUGAUUAAGCUCGCAACGACGCAAACACACAAUCACAGGGAAAAGGGGAGAGAGAGGAGUAAUGUUUUCUGUACCGCCAAACCGAUCAAAACCGAUCCGUCACUCUCCAUUUGGGUGGCAUCGGGAAGGAAAAUAAAUAUGUAACCCUGUCCACGCCACCCGUCCAAACACUAAUGCGCACAGCGCAUACUAGACCGUCUUUGAGCGGCGAAUUAAGGUCGUCACGACAAUCGGCGCGGCGUCAUUCGGCGGUGUGUCCUAAGCAGGCGGCGAUUGAACGAUUUGGAGGAGCAGCCGGCCCUGGGGCGAUCGUCGUUUGAAGCGGGCACGUGAGCAAAAUUAAUAAAGGAGAUCUCUACACUAGUGAUGGGUAAAGCUGGCAAAAAUCCGGAGCCGACUCCGAUCAGACUCCGAUAAUUUCACUAUCGACUAUGGGUGGUAGGUCCGUCCAGCAUUAUCCUGAGUCGUUCGGAAUUGUCCGGAAUUGUUCGGAAUCGUUCGGAGUCGUCCGCAGUCGUCCGGAGGCGUUUGUAGUCGUCGGAAUCUUUCGGAGUUGGCCGGAGUCGUUGAGAGUCGGAGUCAUCCCGAGCCGUGCGGAGUCGUCCGCAGUCGUUCGCAGUCGUUCGGAGUCAUCCGGAGUCGUCCGGAAUCUGUUGGAGUACUUUGUUUCGAAGGUCGACUCAGGCCGUCUUCUAAUGACUCCAGCCGAUUCCAGGUGACUCCGGACUACUCGGGAUAAUUCCGACUCCCAAUAACUCCAGCCGACUCCAGCCGACUCCCAACGACUCCCAAUGUCUCCGGACGACUCCGAAUGACUCCGGAUGACUCCGAAUGACUCCGGACGACUUCGGACGAUUCCGAACAACUCCGGGAGACUCCGGGCAGAACUAGUGGGUCGGAUUUUGCCGGAGUCGUAAUCGGACUAACAAUAGCCGGAGUCUGAUUGGAGUCGUUGGUGCGCUCCAAAGAGCACAUCACUACCCUACACACACACAAAAGCACACGCCGCUGAGUGAUCGUUUUGCAGCAAUUCGUUCCAGAUGCGCUGCUGACGCUAUCGGAGCGCGAAGGUUUUUGACAAUCGAUUAACUAGGAAGCUUUUUAAAUAAAGUUUUGCGCAGAACGUUAAUUACAUCUUUCUUUUUAAGCACGUGUACGCGCGUCAUCGCGUUUCGGGAGACGGCGAGGGUCGUGCGAAGUUAAUUGUUUCCCGCUUCAUUUAUCAACUAACCGGCCGAGGGCCGAGGCGUUGCUAAUCUUGCACAGACUGUACCCUUCUUCCCCCUCCCCAUGUACGUACCUAAACUUAUCAUGGUUUUGAAAAAUUCCGGCUGAAUGCACGUGGCGCACCCGUCGAUGGACAUUGGCGGGGAGAUGCGCUCCAGGUCGCUGUAGCUGUACCCGACCGAACCGUAGCUGGUGCCCAUGCUGGACAGCAGCGAGGCGGCAUGGUGAUGAUGGUGCUGCGACACAUGAUGAUGUGGAUGCGGAUGUGGAUGAUGAUGGGGCGUCCCCAUGCCAGCAUGUUGCUGGUGCUGCUGCUGCUGAUGGUGGUGAGGCUGAUGAUGCAUCGGAUGAUGGUGUCCGACGGAGGAGGCGAUAUCGUUCAUACUGUAGUCGGGCGUCCACAGCCCCGCCAAACCUAGCGGGCCCGUCGUGGCCAAAUGUUGCCGCUGCAGGAGCCGCGUGGCAAACCAGAAGCGCUUAAUGUCGCCAAAGCGCAGCGGCGAGGCACAGUGUUGCGGUAGAUCGUGCACAUCCUGUUCGGUAAUCGCGAGCAGACAGCGCCCAUCGAUGUCCUCCCGGCCAAUCCAAUCGAUGAUGCACCGCGACAGGCCCUCCUUCCGCGCCCAGUCGCUUACGUUUUCGCAACUCCAGCCGAGCACGCCGUGAGCGGUGGUGGGGUUGGUGUGAGUGUGCUGCUGGUCCGCUGGCAUGGUUGCUGUGGUGGAGCUAUUUUCUCGCGGUAUGUUGCUAGUGGUCGCAUUCAAAUUCUUCAACAGUUGCCCAAUCUCGUAUGCAUAUUUUUGUGAUGACAUCGAACCGCAUACAAACACACACACACACGCAGACACGCGUCACGUUCGCGGCCGUGGAAGUGCUGUUUGUCGCGGGAAGAGGACAAUUUUCGGACAAGGGAAUGUGCUUCCCAUGCGACACACCGUGGGGACACACUGCUCCGUGUUGACAAUCACUCGGACACCAGCCGGACACAAUCACACACGGUAUUCGUCACCGCCCGCCAGUGCCACGCGCAGCAUCCAAGCAAACACGCCACACACAACGCAAUCACCUGGCAACGGGGAAUGUCCGCAGUUAGGUGUUUUUCACACUCCCAUCCCCCCCUCCCCUUUGUUGCUGAAGCACGUUGUAUCUGCAGUUGUGAAAAGGGGUGAAGAAGCACAAAACUCCCUCCAACAACACACGCACUCGUUUUCUUUCCGCAAACAAUUCGGUACCGCUAAAGCUGAGGAGCUAAACUUUGCGGGCGAUAAUUCGUAAACCUUUUCACACUUUUCACUCAGGUUUUUUUUACCCCCCGUACGUUGCAAAAAAUGCUUCUUUCAACGUUCUUUUGUUCUUCUUCGCCACAAUCCCGGAGCGCACAACCAGGAUACGCACUUCCUUCUACUGCGCGACCAAUCGUUGGAACGAACUAACUGCGCGAGCGGAAGAUGUUUUAUAUUUGCACUGAUUUACGUGAAUGAGCUCCGCGAGCUGUGCGAGAAAUAAUCACAAUACCCAGCCCACAGAGGCACGUACAGUA